rnacentral:rRNA from 1 species
UACGGAGGGUGCAAGCGUUAAUCGGAAUUACUGGGCGUAAAGCGUGCGCAGGCGGUUUGUUAAGUCCGUUGUGAAAGCCCCGAGCUCAACUUGGGAAUUGCAGUGGAUACUGGCAGGCUGGAGUACGGUAGAGGAAGGUGGAAUUCCCGGUGUAGCAGUGAAAUGCGUAGAUAUCGGAAGGAACACCAGUGGCGAAAGCGGCUUCCUGGUCCGACACCGACGUUCAGGCACGAAAGCGUGGGGAGCAAACAGG